GAUAAGAACAUGUGAGGCAUCCCUGCUGUUUCUGAUUUGGUCAGACUUUAAAAAAAAAAAACACGAGACAGAACUUUUUUCCAAAUGUCUCUGAAAUCUGUGAUGUGAAUUCGAGCAAAUGACUCAUUUUGAUUGUUUUUAAUCUUCUUUACAGUCACCAGAAAGUAUGCAUGUGAGAUCAACCCGCCGAGAAUAGAAUCCUUUUGUGUCAAAUAUCAGCCAAGCUAUUAGCAGAGUGUAGCCUGUGUCCAGCAGGGUAUUUACAGUAACACAUACAGCCUUAUGAUAAAAGGUAUGUGAGUCUUCUCUGCAGGCAUGUCAUGCAGUACAGUAAAGCGGACUGCUUCUUUAAUCAUCUUCCUGAUGCCACAUACAGCAGCAGACCUCACACUGACACUCUCAAAGGCGCACCGACAGGCCGAGCUGCACUCUUUCAUUCCCUCCCAUAAUUAUCUGCACAACUUACAGUGUUCAUCGAAACAUCUUUCUGCAGCCUGGAUUCAUCACCUGAUCCCUGUCACCUGUGUUUGAUUUCUCCCUCUUAUCUAAUUCAUACAAAGAAAAAGUGUUGCCCCCAGACUGGUUUGCACUGCGAGGUACCCAGCAUGCUUUGCAAGUAGCUCACAGCAUGGACCAGGCUCGCAUCAAUGACCAUAACGGCUCCUUUUCUACCUCCUCAUGUCAAAAUCAUCCAUACAUCCCAGACUUGUUGGAGUGGAAUUCUGGCGCCUACAUGACUCGUUCUUCUGAUUGGCUCGUUCUUAAAGUCCCUCGAGCUUUCACUAAACUCUGUAAAUCUGGAUUUUCUUUUGAUGCCUGAAUUUCAUGGAACGCCCUCCAACAAACAUUAAGGAUCGGAGUUCUUCCCUCUAUUGCAGAGAUAGGGAGUUUUAUUUCUAGACACUUUGUUUGAAAAUGUAACAGUUAUUAAUGGAUCUCAGUGGUUUCUGUAAGCAAUUUGAAGUGUUUGCUGUUGUUUUUGCUUGUUUUAUUGUGCUUGUAAUCUCAGCGCAUUGGAAAUGAGGGAAACCUCAGCGUCCUUUUGAGAAUAAAUAAAGGUUUGAAAUGAAAUGAAGCAAGUGGGGGGGCAUGAACUCGUACAAACGAGGAGCUUGUACAACAAAAGGCCUGAACACCAUUUUAUUUAAAGUUCACUCCUCUCUAGGUUCUUUCUUUUUCUGUUCUUGGCUCAUUUUCUCUGCAUCUUUAAUAACUCGUACAUCUGCUCUCUUUUAUACAAUCAUCUUUCUUUUUUCUGCUGAGUGCAGAUUUUUAACUCUAACACAUUGCUUAAUUAUGAGAAGAGCUAUCAGAGUUGCAGUUUGGAGAAAAGUGUGCUUUCUUUGAACUUCUCACAGAUGAAGACAGAUGAGUGGUCCUGUUGGUACCGUGUAGGUGUGAAGUUGAAUGCCAGUAGGUAUAUGCGGGUGUGAAAUGCACUUUCAUUUCACUGCAGUCCACUGUGGGCCCACAUAGCAGUACACACUGAAUCAUUUUUUUUACAUUGUUGUAUUUCAAUGCCACAAAGGAUGAUAAAGAAAAAGACUUUAAAUGCUACAUUGAUACGAAAAAUAACCUAAGGUUUGUUCCAGAUUUAUUUGACAGAGAAAUCCAGUGAAGGAGUCUGUCUGAAAUAAAAGAGAAAGCAUGGUAACGAUAUGAAACACAACAUGAUACGCUCCAUUGAAACAACUAAAGAUUAGAAUAAAACUGAAACUCUUUGAAGUGAUGGUGUUUGAUAUGUUUCCCUGAAGGCAGCGGCUCACCUUUUAGCAUCUACAAACAGGCUCGUGACAACAGGGGAUUUCCUUGUUGUUGCACACGGAUAUAUGGUUGUUGUUUUUUUCUUCCCUGUGUGGGUUUUUUAUUUGUAUGGGUUGGACUACAGAGAAAGAAUUACAUUGCCUAUGGCUGGCUCUUCAAAAAAAACAGCACAUGCCAUCAAAGUUGCACAGAUGGUGAAGGCCUUGAAGAGAGAAAAAAAAAUGGUGGAGAGUGAUCAAUAGAUAACCUCAGAAGGCCUCUCACAUGGCUCCCCCUGGUGGGAUGACAAGGACUGUGGCAGUUUCAGAGUAUGAUUUGCAUUUAACACACUUGCAUGUAGAGCGGUUUACUGUUACCGAACUGUUGGGGAUUCACUGUCCUGCUCAAGGACAUUUUGACUGCAGAGAUGGCUGGCACAGACUGCAGCUAUAAACUCAAGGUCAUGCUGUCACACUCUAAAAUGUUGCAGCGUUUUUUGCAGCAGCCUGUGUGCACAGUUUAAUCAUACAGUUUGUUUCAUUCGUACACAUCUGAGAAUCCUAUUCAUGUGACAUUUCACUAAAGGAGGUGCACACAGGCAGAGGUUUGGGGUCUUGCUCAAGGACACUUUGACAGAGAUGGACACAUGGAUCUCAGAGGACCUACCAGUUCAUUACAAUGACGAUAUGGACUUAUGAGGACUAUCAUGCCUGACCUCUUUCUUUUCCCUCGGUGGUGGAGAUAUAUAGCCACCACUGCAGUGAACAAAAGAAAGGCAGCGUCAUGAAUUUUUUAUUCACUUAGUUAAGAAAUAGAGCUAAACUCCAUCUGGAACCCUGUAUAUGUUAUUUCAAACUAUAAAUGCAAAAUAAGAAAAAUAUGCGAGCCUGCUGAGAUGGACUGAAUUUAUAUUAAAAUUGGAUUAGGAUUAUAUUGGCCAUCUUGCGGUAUUAAGUUUUUCUGUGAAAAUCGAAUGCAUUCUCCGGAGUAAAAUCAACAUUUUCUCCCUGCACACUUGAGUCAGGAAAGCUCUCUGCUGCAGUUUGACACACAGAGAAACGAGCAUUCAUCAAUGCAAAAAAAAAAAAAAAAAAAGCCCUAUUUGCACACACGCACUUGAGUUAUGUUUGAGUUUAAUUUAUGCCUCCAAAGGGAUGCGUAAACAAUUACAAUUACUUGCGGCAGUCACAGUAAAUCAUGUUAAAUCAGUAUACUAAAACAACACGGGCGGAUUUACAUGCAAAUUGGCCCCGAGAAGGUGGCCACAUCAGCGUUUGAGGUUUACGGUGUUGUGUACAGAGAGUGUGGCAAUUUAAGUUGUUUAGGCCGUAAACAAAACACUUCACUCCAUAGACAGCAGGAGCAGUAAAGAAUAAAAAGCGCUGCUUUUAUAAAAACUGCUCCAAACUUUUCAUAAAUCACAGCUUUCAUGUGUAACUGCAACGCAAUGCCAUAACCUUUUCUAGCACCAGGUACUCAAAUGCACUCCAUCUCCACUCAUUACAGUGCUAGACGAGCGUGAAGUGUCUCCAAUAGUGAGCAGCAGGACUGUUCAUCAGAGGUGACGUACAAGUGGGAGCAGGGGAUUGGGAGACUGAUGAAGCUGUGAUCCAAACACACGCUCCGCACCUCCACAACAAGCCCAAGGAACAGAUUCAUCUGACGAGAAUCAACAGCAGCACCCGGUGUACACAUGCGCCAUGCAUAAUUAGCACUAAAGACACAGUGUGCAGGAAUAUAUGCUCAGACUGCAAACAGCUCUGCGAUUCAGGGCAGCAGCAGAAUAAAUAGGUGCUUCUGUUGGUUUGUUGUCAACAGGCAUGAAGAGGGAUUUAAAUCCGAAAAAAAAAGGAUCUUCAUGUUUGGAAAGAUGUGUUUACUUUGAAUGUAGAGGCCAAACUUAGUCAGGAUUGUUGCAAUCUGAAGUGGAAAGUCUAUACAAGUGACGCACUGUCGCUGUGAUAACAAAACGCAGACAAUGAGCAAAGUCAUUGUAGACCCAGGUUAGAAGCAGACACAGAUAAUUAUAUGAAAUAUUUUAUUGCUGAUAAAAAGAGACCCUUGAAAGUUGAAACAAUUGUUAAAGUCCAAACGAUGUACAAAUCCUUCCUGAGGAGCAAAAAUACAACACAGUGCUUAAUGCUUAUAGCACCUCACAUGAAUAAUACACAUCUGAACAAACUUAUAACAAGCAUUUAUUUUCCCCAAAAAAUGGCAAUGUUUUUAAAGCGGUACAGUACAACCAAUGCUCCAGAUGUUUGGUGGGAGCUGGAAAAUGUGUUGGCACUGAUUUAUGACUUUUUUCAAAAAGAUAUAGCUAGAAUGACUGAAAACUUUUUUGUUUUUCUUGAUGUCAACAAGAGCACCUCAGCAUAUUUUUACUUCCAUACAUGGUUUGCAGGAAGUAGCCAGUGUGUUCCUCUAAAGACACAAAUUGAAAAAAAAAGUUUACAUUUCUGUAACAGUGUAUUGUAGUGUUUAGAAAAUGUAACUCACACUGCAAUAAAAAGUAAAAAUGGUCUCAAACAAAUGCAAAGAAGGAUGAAGACACAUUUGGUUCCCUUGUAAGAAUUGACUGUAGAUGAAUAAAGUAUAUGUGUGACUUUAAUAAACUACCUUGGCCACAUGAAA